AGCUGGCGGGUGCUAAUACAUGCAGUCGAACGCUUCUUUCCUCCCGAGUGCUUGCACUCAAUUGGAAAGAGGAGUGGCGGACGGGUGAGUAACACGUGGGUAACCUACCCAUCAGAGGGGGAUAACACUUGGAAACAGGUGCUAAUACCGCAUAACAGUUUAUGCCGCAUGGCAUAAGAGUGAAAGGCGCUUUCGGGUGUCGCUGAUGGAUGGACCCGCGGUGCAUUAGCUAGUUGGUGAGGUAACGGCUCACCAAGGCCGCGAUGCAUAGCCGACCUGAGAGGGUGAUCGGCCACACUGGGACUGAGACACGGCCCAGACUCCUACGGGAGGCAGCAGUAGGGAAUCUUCGGCAAUGGACGAAAGUCUGACCGAGCAACGCCGCGUGAGUGAAGAAGGUUUUCGGAUCGUAAAACUCUGUUGUUAGAGAAGAACAAGGACGUUAGUAACUGAACGUCCCCUGACGGUAUCUAACCAGAAAGCCACGGCUAACUACGUGCCA
rnacentral:rRNA from 1 species